rnacentral:lncRNA from 1 species
UAAUUAUUAUAUUAAUUUUUUAUUGAUUGCAACUAAAAAUUAAAUUUGAAAUUUAAUUCCAAAUAUAUAUACAUAUAUUUAAAUUUUCAUCUCAUAUAACUUUAAUUUAUAUUUAUAAAAUUUUAACUAAAAUUAUUAAAAUAUAAUUAUUGUCGGAAACAACUAUAUAAAUUUGAAUUAGAAUAUAACUGAUAUUUUUUAAUAAAAUAUAGUAGAUAAAUUUAAAUUUUUUAUAUUUUUAUUAUAAAUUUUUAAAUAAAUAUAAUAAAUAAAUAUAUAUUAAUUUAAAGAAAAAACUUCAAAUACCACCUCUGUGGUUUCACACGUUCUCACUUUAUUAACUUGUAGUUUAAAAUAUAUCAAUUUAGUGUCCUGUGGUUUUAUUUUUUUCUUUUUAUUAUUGAUUUCAUUAAUUUUUUUCAUUAAAUCAGUGACAAACUUUAAAACUAAAUGAUAGUAAAGUGAAUAUUUGAUAAACUUAGGUAGGAUAUCUGAAAUUUUUUUGUAUAUAAUUUAAUAGAAUAUUAACGAAAAAAUUGAUGAAAAGAUAAAAAUAAAACCACAGGAUACUAACUUGAUAUACUUUAAAUCACAGAAUACUAAAGUGAGAAGCAAAACCAUAAAUAUGAUAUUUAAAGUUUAUUCUUAUUUAAAAUAAUAAUUAAAAUAAUUAUGACGUGUAUU